AUUGAACGCUGGCCGCAGGCUUCAUAUAUGCAAGUCGAACGAGUGGCGGACGUGUGAGUAAUGUCUGGGAAACUGCCUGAUGGAGGUGGAUAACUACUGGAAACGGUAGCUAAUACCGGAUACCACCGGAUGUGCACCGAUGGUAUUAGCUAGUAGGUGGGGUAAAGGCUCACCUAGGCGACGAUCCCUAGCUGUUCUGAGAGGAUGACCAGCCACACUGGAACUGAGACACGGUCCAGACUCCUACGGGAGGCAGCAGUGGGGAAUAUUGCACCAUGGGCGCAAGCCUGAUGCAGCCAUGCCGCGUGUAUGAAGAAGGCCUUCGGGUUGUAAAGUACUUUCAGCGGGGAGGCGUUACCCGCAGAAGAAGCACCGGCUAACUCCGUGCCAGCAGCCGCGGUAAUAC
rnacentral:rRNA from 1 species